rnacentral:rRNA from 1 species
CAAUAGCUCAUAUUAAAGUUGUUGCAGUUAAAAAGCUCGUAGUUGCAGAGUAACCCGCGGGUUGCGUUGUUCAGACCGAACGGCGCCUCUUGCGGCUAGCCCGGUGCAUUCCGGGUUCUGAUACUUUGAGAAAAAUUGAGUGUUCCAGGCGGACUAGUGUUGAAAUAGUGUACCAUGGAAUAUCGAAAUUGGAGCACUUCUCCAUUUCUUUGGUUUGGGGGAAGCGCUCUGUGAUUAAUAGGAACAGUCGGGGGCGUCCGGAUUGAACAGUCAGAGGUGAAAUUCAUAGAUUCGUUCAAGACGAACAAAUGCGAAAGCAUCCGCCUAGAAUGUUUCCAUUAA